GACGAACGCUGGCGGCGUGCUUAACACAUGCAAGUCGAACGGAAAGGCCCUGCUUUUGUGGGGUGCUCGAGUGGCGAACGGGUGAGUAACACGUGAGUAACCUGCCCUUGACUUUGGGAUAACUUCAGGAAACUGGGGCUAAUACCGGAUAGGAGCUCCUGCUGCAUGGUGGGGGUUGGAAAGCUUCGGCGGUUGGGGAUGGACUCGCGGCUUAUCAGCUUGUUGGUGGGGUAGUGGCUUACCAAGGCUUUGACGGGUAGCCGGCCUGAGAGGGUGACCGGCCACAUUGGGACUGAGAUACGGCCCAGACUCCUACGGGAGGCAGAAGUGGGGAAUAUUGCACAAUGGGCGGAAGCCUGAUGCAGCAACGCCGCGUGCGGGAUGACGGCCUUCGGGUUGUAAACCGCUUUCGCCUGUGACGAAGCGUGAGUGACGGUAAUGGGUAAAGAAGCACCGGCUAACUACGUG
rnacentral:rRNA from 1 species